rnacentral:hammerhead_ribozyme from 1 species
AGCCGAAACGGGUCCGAUGGACCCGUCCAUGUGGAUCGGCCGUCCACGUGCUGACGAGACAGGCCAUC